rnacentral:rRNA from 1 species
UACGGAGGGUGCAAGCGUUAAUCGGAAUUACUGGGCGUAAAGCGCACGCAGGCGGUCUGUUAAGUCAGAUGUGAAAUCCCCGGGCUUAACCUGGGAACUGCAUUUGAAACUGGCAGGCUUGAGUCUUGUAGAGGGGGGUAGAAUUCCAGGUGUAGCGGUGAAAUGCGUAGAGAUCUGGAGGAAUACCGGUGGCGAAGGCGGCAUCCUGGACCGGCAUUGACGCUGAGGAGCGAAAGCCAGGGGAGCAAAGCGGGG